AUGUGUAGUGAGGCAUUACCAUGUAGAAAGCACAAUAUUGUCAACGAAAACUCACUGCUCACAUAGAAGAGUCCUUGCGUUGUACAUAGACACAAUAAAUUCGAAACUACUAAAUGAUAUCUUAAUUUAUCCUAGUAAAGAUGAUAAAUGAUAUAGGGAAAACAGAUAACAGGAAGGAAGAUGAAGACCAUAUGGCACACUUGCCAGCAUUAAUGGUAUGAUUCCAUUUUAUUCCCUUAAGGAACUGAAGGAGGACACAGAGAAUUCAGUAUAAAAACACUAGGCAGAAAUUGAUCAACACAGAAGACUGAGAAGACACUGUAUAAAAAUAUCUUGAUUACUGAUUCCCAACCAAUAUGAAAACUUCUGAUAGACAGGAAGAGGAAGUCAUAUCCCUGGAAACUUGAAUCAUGAACAGUGAUGAUCUAUCCAAGAGAUUAGUGCCUCUCUCAGCCCCCCAAAGAGAAGCUUCUAUCUGCAGUAGAUGAUGAUAACAUGGAGACCACAACUGGAUAAGGUACAGAGAACAAGC